GAGUCCUUUUUUUUUUUUAUUUAUUUAUAAAGGAGUUUCUCCUGCUAACCUCUUCAGGCCUAAAAGUUAAACGGAAUAUAAAAGCUACUUUCUUCAUUCAGUCAGUAACAAACAAUUUCUUCCAUUCUCUUCAGGCUUGUCCAAGUUUCUACCCAAGAGCAGUUCAUGGUCGGAGGAAGCCAGGGGUUUACAAGCCGCAGGGAAUGACUUGCAUGCUGGGUCUCACUGUCUCCAGCCAGGAGAAGUCUAGGCUGCUUUUCUGGUCGAAGAACCUGAACUCCAGCUCUCCUAGACAAAACAAACCAGGAAUGACUACUGAAUCCCAUGCAGUAAGAGCAAAAUAGUGUAUAUAUAUACAUGUGUGUUUAUAAAUACAUCAACAAUUGAAAGAUUUCUCAGAUGUGAGUGGAUACCUUAGAGGAAUGCUUUGCUAAAAUACUCCAAACACUAUUAAACUGUCCCGUUUAGACUAUUGCUAGUGGAAAUCCUUCAGUUACAUUGCAAGGAGUUCCUGAAACCUGGCACAGCUGACGUAUAUAACCCCAAGACAAAUCUGCAGUAUACUCUUGCUGCAGGCAUUUUUCUCCUUUCCCUUUUUAUGAACAAAUUCCUUAGAGCCUUCCGACAGGCCACUCGGAAAUCUGAGAACGCAGGGACGUGUGAAUUCCUCCAUUUGCUUUGCUCCCUCCCAAUUAGUGUCUUGCAGGAAAACCCUCGUCUGCGUCAUCCUUGACCGUCAGUAAUAACCCAGGAGUCUGUACCUGAAGUCGUGUCGAUCUCCCCGUCCUGCUCCUUGUAGCUGUAAGUGCUGCACAUGGUCUGCGUGCCCGGCUCGUUGGUGAGAAAGCCUUUCCCACCAACGCUGGUGGUGUGCCAGUCUUGGGCUGGUUCUAACAGCUGGAAGAGAAUAAGGAGAUGGUAAAAACUGCUGCGUCUGUCUGUGGGUGCAGUGUUUUAUUCCUUUCUCUUCAUUAGAAGACAGGUAAGCAAAAAAAGAUCAAAUUCUAUCUUCUUAUGCUAAAUUAUAUAACACCCAGUUUAAAAAAAAAUAAAUAAAUUUAAUGCCAAACAGGAAGGGCCAGAAGACCUUCGGUGAUGAAACCCCCGCCUUAUCAGUGGGAUGAGCGUGACAUGUCUGGAAACACAGAUUAAGCGCCGUACAUGUCGGAGGUGGGGAGAAGGGUGAAAUAAAAAGGUCUAGAGAACCUUUGCAGACUCUAAUCGAGUAACCUUUACUUCUAGCACUACUCAAUAGCUUUCUGUGACUUUCACAUGAAGAGUAAAUAUUUCCAUGGAUGUGUCCCCUCCGGCUCAUGUUUGCAAAGUAGCUUUCAUUUUAUAUUUCAGUUUUCAGGCUUCCUCAUGAAAUAAGGGUCUUGGAUUACGUAAGUGUAGGUUCAGCUCAUAUAGGUCUGGACCAGAUAGCUGCUUCCCUUCCUCUCUUGGUGCAAACAACAACUUUGGCCAAUUUUAUUCUGACCAGAAGGGCUGGGUUUACCUUAAAAAUCUCUGAAUUAAUUUCCUCUUCAUCUUCAUCUGUGACUGUUUUGUAAGUACAUUUAAAAAAAAAAAAAAAAAAGAGAAGAAAACAUAGAUGUCAAAUUUUGCACGUUAGCCCUCACACUUCUGCUUCUUCACCACACAACCCACUUCAUAUUCUCUUGUCACACAACACCACUGCCUUUUACUCCCCCCCUGCCCAGAUGAUGCCAAGGAAGGUCUCGUGGGAUUUGAGGCGGGGGGGGCCCAUCAGCAGCUCCGCGCCCCAGACCCUGCACGUUGGGGUGCGUGGCUCCAGCAGCUCUGAUGCCUCCCCAGGACUCACCAAAGCAGAGCCCGCUUGGUAUGCAGGAGGAGAUUUCCACCCCAGGCUGACCUGUCCGUGCCGUCGCGUUGAGCCUGCGAGAUGAAGCCUGCCCCUUUGCCCACAUGUGCAAAGUAAACGGCACCUCAGAGCCUUUCACCCAUGCGCAACUACUUCUGCAGGUGGCACGUGCCCUUCUGUAACCUGGCCGGUUUGGUAGCUCCAGACACCCAAGUCUAUCAGGCACUCCUUCAUCCCGCUGCCUUGCCUCCAACCUGCCUCCAGUCGCCCGAUGAAGGACCAGGGUAGGAAAAAUGAAAUACCCACCUUCUGAGGACGAGGCCAGGGGAGACACCUGGA